rnacentral:tRNA from 2 species
GGAGAGGUGUCCGAGUUGGUCUAAGGAGCACGAUUGGAAAUCGUGUAGCCGAUGAGGCUCGCGGGUUCGAAUCCCGCCCUCUCCG